GAGAGAGGCCUGAGGCAACGGAAACUGCUAAUUUUCGCCACUUUGGUUAAACUCCAAAGCUCACUCG
rnacentral:tRNA from 1 species